rnacentral:rRNA from 1 species
AGAGUUUGAUCCUGGCUCAGAACGAACGCUGGCGGCGUGGAUAAGACAUGCAAGUCGAACGAGACUUUUCGUUGUAGCAAUACGAUGGAAAGUUUAGUGGCGAACGGGUGCUUAACACGUGGGCAAUCUGUCUUAAAGUGGGGGAUAGCUCGGCGAAAGCCGAAUUAAUACCGCAUGUGAUUAGAGCGGACAUCCAUUCAAAAUCAAAGUCGGGGCAACCUGACGCUUCUAGAGGAGCCCGCGGCCUAUCAGCUAGUUGGUGAGGUAACGGCUCACCAAGGCUUUGACGGGUAGCUGGUCUGAGAGGACGACCAGCCACACUGGGACUGAGACACGGCCCAGACACCUACGGGUGGCAGCAGUCGAGAAUUUUUGGCAAUGGGGGAAACCCUGAUCGAGCGACGCCGCGUGGAGGAUGAAGGUCUUCGGAUUGUAAACUCCUGUCAUUUGGGAACAAUGCUAUUCGGUUAACUGCCGAGUAGUUGAUAGUACCAGAAGAGGAAGAGACGGCUAACUCUGUGCCAGCAGCCGCGGUAAUAC